rnacentral:rRNA from 1 species
UACAUCGGAACGUACCCAGUUAUGGGGGAUAACUAACCGAAAGGUUGGCUAAUACCGCAUACGCCCUGAGGGGGAAAGCGGGGGACCGUAAGGCCUCGCGUAAUUGGAGCGGCCGAUGUCUGAUUAGCUAGUUGGUGAGGUAAAGGCUCACCAAGGCGACGAUCAGUAGCAGGUCUGAGAGGAUGAUCUGCCACACUGGAACUGAGACACGGUCCAGACUCCUACGGGAGGCAGCAGUGGGGAAUUUUGGACAAUGGGGGCAACCCUGAUCCAGCCAUUCCGCGUGAGUGAAGAAGGCCU